AAGGAUGCCCCGUUCGUAGUGAAACAGGCUUCAUUUUGUCACGGAACCGCAGGCUGAGCUGGGCCUGGCUGGGCAGGUGAAAGCAUAGGGAGGCUCCCUGUAUGCAGCUGAACACGCGGCAGCUCUCAGACUCUGCUCUUGUGGCUACCACCUAAUGGGACCACAGCCGCUUUGUCAACUGUGUGCGAUUCUCUCCUGAUGGGAACAGAUUUGCCACAGCCAGUGCUGACGGCCAGAUAUACAUCUAUGACGGGAAGACUGGGGAGAAGGUGUGCGCGCUGGGCGGAAGCAAGGCCCACGACGGUGGGAUUUACGCAAUUAGUUGGAGUCCCGACAGCACCCAUUUGCUUUCUGCUUCUGGGGACAAAACUUCCAAGAUUUGGGACGUCAGCGUGAACUCCGUGGUCAGCACAUUUCCCAUGGGCUCCACGGUUCUGGACCAGCAGCUGGGCUGCCUAUGGCAGAAGGACCACCUGCUCAGUGUCUCCCUGUCCGGGUACAUCAACUAUCUGGACAGAAACAACCCCAGCAAGCCCCUGCACGUCAUCAAGG
rnacentral:lncRNA from 1 species